GAUGAAGAACGCAGCGAAAUGCGAUAAGUAGUGUGAAUUGCAGAAUUCAGUGAAUCAUCGAAUCUUUGAACGCACAUUGCGCCCUUAGGUAUUCCUUAGGGCAUGCCUGUUCGAGCGUCAUUUAAACCUUCAAGCUCAGCUUGGUGUUGGGUGACUGUCCGCUUCACCGCGGACUCGCCUCAAAAUUAUUGGCGGCCGGUACAUUGGCUUCGAGCGCAGCAGAAACGCGAACUCGGGCCCGUCGUAUUGGCUCCCAGAAGCUAUCUUCACAAUUUUGACCUCGGAUCAGGUAGGGAUACCCGCUGAACUUAAGCAUAUCAAUAAGCGGAGGA
rnacentral:misc_RNA from 1 species